UGGAGGUCAUGAAAUUUUGUUCUUUCACACAUCUUGGUGAUUAUCGAGGCCGGGAGUGUUGGAAAGAUUUUUCAAAUACUGAGGAACUAUCAUUCGCAAUGGAUGUUAAAAAACAGACUUCGUUGACUUGUGUGAGGCGAAGAAAAAAUGAGUGGUGUACGUGAUAUGUGGUGCUCCCCAGACCAGUGUUUUCGAGACAGGGAUGGACUACACUGUUCAUCUGAGCUUGCCGCUCUACUCCACACUCAGUGAUGUCCAGUCCCCAUACACACUCAUCAACUCGGUUGUGCUGAUGAGUCACAGUAGGAACCCGGAGAUCUUCACUGGUUCUGAGGUAGGUGGUGUGGCAACCAACAGCGCCUGGGACACGUUCCAGCGGAGAACAGCCAGAGCGUAGUCGAGACUCCCUCCGCAGACAUCUGCCGCAACUUCAUCUUUAGUGUGUCAGCUCUGCUGCCCCAGGGAGCUAAAUGACCUAAAGCACUGCACUCAUAUGGCUCUGGCUUGCUGAUAACAUCUGAUCUGAUGAGACUCCCUAUGUGAUUUGACUCCUGUAUUACUGCCUGUACUCAAUAAAACUUCCAAUGCCAAAUUUAAAAUAAUUUGACAGUAAUUUGAUAGACAAUGGUAGUUCCCAAUCAGACAAUUACUAUGAAACAAAUCCGUUUUCCUCAGUUAAAUGUUUGGUGAAUGCAUGUUGUGCUUUGUCCUCAGUCUUCCUUUGAAUGAUGUGUGUACCAUGAUGACAUGUUAACCUGAGUUAAGUUGGUUAAUCCUAUACAGUACAAUUCAGUUGUUUACAUUCUAUUACUUGGCACUGGUUAUGUACUGUUAAUGUAGCAAGUUCUCCCCUUUGUGUCUCCAUAUAAUUCAA